UCUCUCUCCGCCAUUGAGAGUGUAUACUCUCACCAGCCAAGAGGGAUUCCUCCCGGCCGCUGAGAGUGUAUACUCUCACCGGCCGAGAGGAAUCCCUCUCAGUCAAUGAGAGUGUACAGUCUCAUCAACCGAGAGAUAUUCCUCUCGGCCGGUGAGAGUAUACACUCUCAUUGACCAAGAGGGA
rnacentral:miRNA from 1 species